AGAAAGACCCUGAGGUUGUUUUGCUCAGCAAGUUCGAAGAUGACCACUACAACCGUGUCCGUUACACGCUUGCGUCUUAUAUCAUCAACGAGAACUCAACUGGUGAAGUGAAAUUUAGCCCAAUGAGGCGAGUAUUGUUGGAGAUGAUUGAGAAAGCGUUUUCAACCAUAAACCUUGAAACGCACACUGGAACUCACCCAAGGAUUGGAGUCAUUGAUGACAUGUCCUUCCACCCCUUGAAUCAAGCCACAAUGGAAGAUGCUGCUCAACUGGCUAAGACUGUGGCCUCUGACAUUG
rnacentral:lncRNA from 1 species